CGCCCACUCAUCCCCCUUGUGCGCGUCUGCGCAUGCGCCCUGGUGCGGGCCCAGGCAGGGCGCUUUGCCUAACUCUGAGAAGUGACAGCGGCCGUGACUGGCCUCACGCGCUCCCUCUCUCACACGUCUUUAGACAUCCUUUUACGCUCGUCUCUUCCACAAAGCCUCACCACUGCACACCAUUCUCCCCCGCAAAAAAGUGAAACGAACUUAUCUCUGAAUGGCUUGCACUUUAUACUUCUAACAGGCAUGGUAUUGUUCCAUCUUCUGACAAGUAACCCCAUCACUCACCUAUUAGCUAAGAUGGCAGAUGAGAACUGAGGGGAGACACACAGCACGCACACUAGAAAGAGGAAAGUCAUUCACAGUCAUGAGGACAUUCCAGUGACCUCUGAAGAGGCUCAUGUGGGAAGAAACUGAGGCCUCCCAGGACCUCCCAGCACCAUCUUGCCAGCCUGUGACAGCACCAGCUUGGAAGCAGAUCUUCCAGCUCCAGUCACUUCUGAUGACUGCAGCUCUGGUGGCAUCUCAGCUGCAGCCUCAUGGGAUGUCCUGGGCUAGAAGAACCUGGCUUAGCAGUUCCUGGAUUCAUGACCCACACAAACAGUGAGUCUGAUAAGUUUUCUUUAUCAUUAUUUUUGCAGAUUUUGUUGGAAAUAAAAUUCACAUAUGUAAACAUCAGCAUUUUAAAGUAUACUGUUUAGUGGAUUUUAGUACAUUUAUUGUUACGCAACCAUUGCCACUAUCUCAUUCCAGAAUAUUUCCAUCACCUCCAAAUGAUACCCCACACUUCUUGGCAGUCACUCUUUGUUCCCCCUACUCCUCAUCACCUGACAACCACUAAUCAACUGUUUGACUCUAAGGAUUUGCUUGUUGUAGACAUUUGCUAUAAAAGGAAUCAUAUGAUAUUUGGUCUUUUGUGAAUGACUUCUUUCAUGUAUCAUAAUGUUUUCAAGGUUUAUCCAUAUUGGAGCACAAGUUAGUUAUUUAUUCCUUAUUUUUAAAAAACUUAAUUUUUUUUAGAGCAUUUAGGUUUACAAAAAAAUUGGGACUAAAGUACAGAGAUUUCCCAUAUACU